GAUGAACGCUGGCGGCGUGCCUAAUACAUGCAAGUCGAGCGAACGGACGAGAAGCUUGCUUCUCUGAUGUUAGCGGCGGACGGGUGAGUAACACGUGGAUAACCUACCUAUAAGACUGGGAUAACUUCGGGAAACCGGAGCUAAUACCGGAUGAUAUUUUGAACCGCAUGGUUCAAAAGUGAAAGACGGUCUUGCUGUCACUUAUAGAUGGAUCCGCGCUGCAUUAGCUAGUUGGUAAGGUAACGGCUUACCAAGGCAACGAUGCAUAGCCGACCUGAGAGGGUGAUCGGCCACACUGGAACUGAGACACGGUCCAGACUCCUACGGGAGGCAGCAGUAGGGAAUCUUCCGCAAUGGGCGAAAGCCUGACGGAGCGACGCCGCGUGAGUGAUGAAGGUCUUCGGAUCGUAAAACUCUGUUAUUAGGGAAGAACAUAUGUGUAAGUAACUGUGCACAUCUUGACGGUACCUAAUCAGAAAGCCACGGCUAACUACGUGCCAGCAGCCGCGGUAAUACGUAGGUGGCAAGCGUUAUCCGGAAUUAUUGGGCGUAAAGCGCGCGUAGGCGGUUUUUUAAGUCUGAUGUGAAAGCCCACGGCUCAACCGUGGAGGGUCAUUGGAAACUGGAAAACUUGAGUGCAGAAGAGGAAAGUGGAAUUCCAUGUGUAGCGGUGAAAUGCGCAGAGAUAUGGAGGAACACCAGUGGCGAAGGCGACUUUCUGGUCUGUAACUGACGCUGAUGUGCGAAAGCGUGGGGAUCAAACAGGAUUAGAUACCCUGGUAGUCCACGCCGUAAACGAUGAGUGCUAAGUGUUAGGGGGUUUCCGCCCCUUAGUGCUGCAGCUAACGCAUUAAGCACUCCGCCUGGGGAGUACGACCGCAAGGUUGAAACUCAAAGGAAUUGACGGGGACCCGCACAAGCGGUGGAGCAUGUGGUUUAAUUCGAAGCAACGCGAAGAACCUUACCAAAUCUUGACAUCCUUUGACAACUCUAGAGAUAGAGCCUUCCCCUUCGGGGGGGACAAAGUGACAGGUGGUGCAUGGUUGUCGUCAGCUCGUGUCGUGAGAUGUUGGGUUAAGUCCCGCAACGAGCGCAACCCUUAAGCUUAGUUGCCAUCAUUAAGUUGGGCACUCUAAGUUGACUGCCGGUGACAAACCGGAGGAAGGUGGGGAUGACGUCAAAUCAUCAUGCCCCUUAUGAUUUGGGCUACACACGUGCUACAAUGGACAAUACAAAGGGCAGCGAAACCGCGAGGUCAAGCAAAUCCCAUAAAGUUGUUCUCAGUUCGGAUUGUAGUCUGCAACUCGACUACAUGAAGCUGGAAUCGCUAGUAAUCGUAGAUCAGCAUGCUACGGUGAAUACGUUCCCGGGUCU
rnacentral:rRNA from 1 species